CAAGUACCGUGAGGGAAAGUUGCAAAGCACUUUGAAGAGAGAGUUAAAGAGGACGUGAAACCGGUAAGGUGGAAACGGAUAGAGCUAGCGUAUCUAGCUUGUAUUCAGCCGCUCUGGUUUGGGUGCCCUGUUUGCUGGUCCGGAUUCGGCCAGUUGGCGGGUGUCUCCUGGGCUUUGGUGGUGCAUUUGCAAGUGGAGUGCGCUGAGGCCUGUGGGGCAGCGGUUGGAAGUGCGCUUUGAGGAUACCCUUUGGGGUAAAACCCGGGCGUACCUAAGACUGUUUGCCCUGCUUGUACAUGAGCGUGGCUUACGGGUUUGGCUGGGGCUGAGCUGGUCGCCGGUUACGGUCGCAUGCGACACGUGCUGGUGGUUGGUUUGGUUUUGGUCUGACUCCCUCGCUCGCCCUCGGUGUAAAAGCUAGUCAUCUAUCCGACCCGUCUUGAAACACGGACCAAGGAGUUUAGCGUAUACGCGAGUCAUUGAGUGUAAAACUCAAAGGCGCAAUGAAAGUAAAGGUAUCCCUUGCGGAGCUGAUAUGCGACCUCGGGUGCUUCGGUGCCCGGGAGCAGCAUAG
rnacentral:rRNA from 1 species